rnacentral:tRNA from 1 species
UAGCCUAGUGGUUAAGGCUAUGGAUCACCAAUCCGGAGACGGUGGGUUCGAUUCCCAU